rnacentral:rRNA from 1 species
UACGAAGGGUGCAAGCGUUACUCGGAAUUACUGGGCGUAAAGCGUGCGUAGGUGGUGAGUUAAGUCUGUCGUGAAAGCCCCGGGCUCAACCUGGGAAUGGCGAUGGAUACUGGCUCGCUAGAGUGCGGUAGAGGAGAGUGGAAUUCCCGGUGUAGCAGUGAAAUGCGUAGAGACCGGGAGGAACAUCAGUUGCGAAGGCGGCUCUCUGGACCAGCACUGACACUGAGGCACGAAAGCGUGGGGAGCAAACAGG